CAAAAUAUCUUCAACAAAUAUCUCACCAUCCUUAUCCCUCCACCUCAUGAUUCCUCUCUCCUCACCAUCAGCCAAUCCGUUUCUUCCCCUCUCUUGCAGCAGACCCAUUUUCUUUCUUCUUCUUUUACAUAUCAUGUUUUCUUCUCCUUUCAUAUUCAAAUCUGUUUUCCCUUUCUUUCUUAUGCUAAACACAUUUUCCUUCUUCCUUUUCUCCUUAUUUCUCCUAGCUGCAGACACGUUUCUUCUUCUUCAUGAGACAACCACGCACACUUCUUCCUCAUCACCAUGUCCAUUUCUUUUCUUCCUUCAACGUGCGACACACACCCAUCACCAGCUCCUUCUCUCAAGCUCCUUUCUCUUUGUUGCAGCACCACACGCACAACCCCUCAUCACUAAAAACCCAUUUUCUUCUCCUUUCUCCUUGGCAAGACCAGCCACGAGACCAUCAUCGCCACCAUGCCACACUUCUUCCCCAUCACCAUCUUCAACUAAUCCUUCCUCUCAUCACCACCGUAUCUCCUCUCUCAAUGGAGCAAGCCACCACGAGCUUCUCCUUCUUCACGUAGCAGCCACCAUGAGACCACCAUCAAAAUGGUUUUAUUUUUUCCUUCAACGUGACCGCACCACAACCAGCCGCCAACACCUCCAUGGAAGCAACGUAGAACAGAGGAGAACGACAUCGCCAACUUCGCCCUUCAUUUCCGGUGUCCUCGGGCCUCUGUUCACAGCGAGGUUAGUACGGUUGGAACCCUUGCGACGUCCACAACAAAACCCAUGUUCCGAAUCGUCAUUCCGCCGCCGUCGACCGCUGCCGCUGCCGCCUUUGAAGCCGAUUUCCGGUCAACUCCGGCGACCGAUGGAGAAACGGAGUGCACCACGACGAUCAUUACCGCGAGGAGAGCAAUAGCCCUCAAUCAAUGUCAGUUUUGGACAACUUUUUUCGGCGAGUUCCGCCGACCUACAAUUUGACUUUCUGAGCAAACUCUCGACUUUUGGGGGAAACAGACAUCGCCACUGAGUUCCUGACCGCGAAAGAAUAAAGAACCACUAUCUCUUUUGUGUCUCCGGCGACAAUUCCUCUGUCAACCACCGCGAACCACAACUUUCUUCGCCGACAAGCUUUCAGAACUUGGAUUUCGGUACGAAUAACGGGAGCGCUUGGCGACGAAGUCAAGGAAUAAAAGGAAGCGAGCUGACACGAGAAAGCAAGAUGUGAUUGGAUUGGAGUUGCAGUUUAGGAAGGAAAUUGGCUAAGGUAAGGGUAACUCAGUUUUAGCGCGUCUUUGAGUCUUGCAUGCUUUUAUCGCACUGCAUGCGUUUGAGAUGAAGGUGUUUAAUUUGAUUGGCAAUUGAUUGAAAUAUUGGCAUGUUUUGCAAUGUUGUAUGCUUGCUUAUGUUGAAUGUUUCUGAGGCUUGUGCCAAAUGUUUUCUAGAGGCUUCGACCGAGUGAACUUAUUGAGACGUGUGUCUCUGUUUUCUGAGAGGCUUCGGCCGUUUACUGGUUUCUGUCAUUACUGCUUUCUUGUGGAUGUUUUGAUUGCUGUCGUGGUUGAUGUUGGGAUGGAUCACAUACUAAGUAUAUGCUAAGUAGCUAUAUGCUGUGUUGAUAUUUGUGCAUAUGCGUUGUUGGGUUAUACUGUGUGGCCUGCGUGGCGUACUGUGUGGCCUGCGUGGCAUACUGUGUGGCCUGCGUGGCGUAUUGUGGGGCCUGUGUGGCAUACUGUGUGGGCUUUGUGCCGUUGUGUGGAGCAUGUGUGGCAUAUUAAGUGGCAUUCAGGAGUUAUCAUUCUCCGUCUGUCCCGUCUAUCAGGGGCGUUAUUAAGUGGCAUUCAAGAGUUAUCGUUCUCCGUCUGUCCUGUCUUGCGAGACGCUUUUGAUUGGACCUGUCUUGGUAGUAACACAUAGUUGUACUACAGGGCACUUAUAUUGAGGAUUGUUGAUAUCUGAUUUAAUGUUAUGUUGUUGAAGUUUGUUGAUAUCUGAUUUGAUGUUAUAUUGUUGAGGUUGUUGAUAUCUGACUAAAUGUUAUACUGUUGAAGUUAUUAUUAUCUGAUUUAAAUCUGUUGUUAUGUUGCUCAUACCUGAUUUAAAUCUAUAUUGUUGAUAUCUGAUUUGAUUUUAUGUCAUUGGAUAUAUGUCAUCAUCUAUUUGGAAUUAAGUUGCUAGCUUAUGUGCCAUGUUAUGCACUUAAACUUUAAUAACAUGCUUUUCCCUUUUAUACGUGGUAAUUGCAUGGAGUUAACCCUUUCUGUUUGCUAUUUGUUGCUUGGGCGCUUAACGCUAUUAGGCGAUGGAGAAUCUUCGAUGAAGGUUGGCCUUUGUGCGAGUUCGAGAUGAGGACUUGAAGAAUUAUGGAAGACUCGAAGAAUAGAGUCGGGUGUAGGGCUAGAGCCUUGGGUUAGAGAGCUUACUGUUAUUGGUUUAAGCUUGCAUAAUGAUUUUAUGAAUUUAUAUUUGAGGUUUCGGGUAGGUUCCGAUGCAUUGCUUUCCUGCGGUUCCCCGAUGUGGAGAUCGUAGGGAGUAUUUCGGAUUUAUGGUGUCAUUGCAUAAUAGGAUCUUUGUUGAGUUGUUUCUAUUGGUUAGGUUUUGUAGGUUGGGUGCUUUCGGGUUUACCUUCGGGUACUUGCCUUAUUCAAGGCUCGAUGUAAAUUUAUUUACAGUUGAGAGUAUGAGUGACAUGUUUUGAAAAUACUUUGAAGAGAAAAAAUAAUACUCGUGUUUAUGAA